AGGAUUAUAAUUUAAACAAAAUAUUUGAUUUGCAUUCAAAAAAUAUUGAGAUUCAAUUUAUCUUA
rnacentral:tRNA from 1 species